GCCCUGGUAGCUUAAGCCAAAGCGCCGGUUUUGUAAUCCGGAGAUUGAUGGUUGAACUCCUUCCCAAGGCC
rnacentral:tRNA from 1 species